UGUGUGAUACUCAAGUGGUUAACGAGGAUAGACUGUAAAUCUAUUAGCUUUGCUUUCGGGAGUUCGAAUCUCUCUCACACAA
rnacentral:tRNA from 2 species